AAAGUCCUAGCUUAAUUAAAGUACCUGGGUUGCAUUCAGGAAAUGCAGGGUAAUAUCCUGCGGAUUUUA
rnacentral:tRNA from 1 species